GGUAAAUAUAGCUUAAUUGGUAGAGUAUCAAAUUGUGGCUUUGAUGGUUAUGGGUUCGAGUCCCAUUAUUUGCC
rnacentral:tRNA from 1 species